rnacentral:lncRNA from 1 species
GCGAAUCAACUCCCACUUUAUGCAUGACUAUAGAAUCCAAAUACUUUUUGUGAUACACUCAGUAGUUUUCUCCUCUUUCGGCUGAGAGAAACCUUAAAUAAUUCUCCAUGCCUGCUUUUUAAGAAACAUGGUACAUCCAAUUAUAAUCAUUACUUCAGAAAGGGACUUUCUAAUUGCCUUGUUCUUCUCAUCUUUCCAUUUACUUAUUUAGCUUAAGAGAAACACAGAGUGAUUCUAAGCAGCUUUGCCAUGCCCUGGAUGCAGAGGCAAUUGAUUGCUUGUUCUGUGGGCCCACAAGGACAGGACAGGAUUUGGAGAAUUCCAUUUCCCUACACUUCCGUUUUCU